rnacentral:rRNA from 1 species
GACGAACGCUGGCGGCGUGCUUAACACAUGCAAGUCGAACGGAAAGGCCCUGCUUUUGUGGGGUGCUCGAGUGGCGAACGGGUGAGUAACACGUGAGUAACAUGCCCUUGACUUUGGGAUAACUUCAGGAAACUGGGGCUAAUACCGGAUAGGAGCUCCUGCUGCAUGGUGGGGGUUGGAAAAUUUCGGCGGUUGGGGAUGGACUGGCGGGUUACCAGCUUGUUGGUCGGGUAGUGGCUUACCAAGGCUUCGACGGGUAGGCGGCCUGAGAGGGUGGACGGCCACAUUGGGCCUGAGGUACGGCCCAGACUCCUACGGUAGGCAGCAGGGGGGAAUAUUGCACAAUGGGCGGAAGCCUGAUGCAGCAGCGCCGCGUGCGGGAUGACGGCCUUCGGGUUGUAAACCGCUUUCGACUGUGACGAAGCGUGAGUGACGGUAAUGGGUAAAGAAGCACCGGCUAACUACGUG